CAGGCCUAACACAUGCAAGUCGAGCGCCAGCGCGAGAAGUUUACUUCUUGGAGGCGAGCGGCGGACGGCUGAGUAACACGUAGGAACGUACCCCAAAGUGAGGGAUACGCACCAGAAAUGGUGUCUAAUACCGCAUGUGGCCCACGGGCUAAAGCUUUAUGCGCUUUGGGAACGGCCUGCGUAAGAUUAGCUUGUUGGUGAGGUAAUGGCUCACCAAGGCGACGAUCUUUAGGUGGUCUGAGAGGAUGAUCAGCCAGACUGGGACUGAGACACGGCCCAGACUCCUACGGGAGGCAGCAGUAGGGAAUUUUCCACAAUGGGCGAAAGCCUGAUGGAGCAACGCCGCGUGCAGGAUGAAACCCCUCGGGGAGUAAACUGCUUUUAUAUGUGACGAAUAUGACGGUAGCAUAUGAAUAAGGAU
rnacentral:rRNA from 1 species